GACGAUCGGCCUAAAUCAUUCUUGCAAAUGCAAAUCUUGCUGUUUUCAGUAUUUUUAUAAAAAGAAACAUUAAUUAACCAUAUUGAAUCUUCUUUAUUCUUAACAGAUGAUAUGACUAGUGUUUAAAAGAGGAUAUGAGUUGUUCUUUUCUAGACAGCUGUGUUUUGGUUUCCUAGUAAUUGCUCAGCUUCUCACUUUCUAGCUUACAUAGCAGUCAGAAGCCCAGCAGUCUAAAUAAUAUGUGCCAGUGUCCAGAGGAUAGAGUAGUAGGAGGGGCACGGACUGCUAAUGAAAGUCUAGCUCACAGAGAAACCUGGUAGACAUCAAUGUGUCUACUGUUGAGGGGCCUUCCACCUUGGUUCAAGUCAUUGUGGAAACCACAAAUUUCCUUGGAGGAUUUACACCCAUCAAGAUCUAAGUCUGGCUCCAGGUGUGGGGACAAAUUUGAUUGAAGCCCAUUGACAGAUGCUAACAAUAUCAGUACCAGUUAAAGCCAACACUCGGAACAGAAGCAGUGACAAUAAAAGCGCUCAACCGACUGCGAGCACCCUGCCAGAGAUAUCUAGUUCAAGUAAUAACACAACAGAAAGCCAGCAACAGAGAUAAAAUGGUCCAAUCCAAUUUGGCAAGCUAAUUUUUCUAAAGCCCAGAAAUUUAUUUUUGCAAGGUUAACUUUUUGGCUUGCUGUCAAGUUGUAGUAAAUCUCCAAGAUAUUGAUUGAUGCCUUCCCCAGAUCCAAUACUUUGCUGCUAUCUAUUUUUCAGACAACACGAGAAAGCUGCCACUGCUCCUGCCAACGACGCCAGCAAUUCAUCCAUCAAAAAGGAAUCAACAAACUCGGAGAGUGAUGACGUUGCAAGACCAGGAGCUACCAAGGAGUCGAGCUGGCAGCUGAGGUAGCCACGGAGAAAAAGACAUGUCGAAGGGGUGAAGGUGUUGAUUCAUCUUCCUCGUCGAUCUACUGCCAUGUUCACCGUAAUCCGAUUACCUCGAAAGAUAAUCCUCCGCCAGGAUUUUGCCAGUGGCUUCACACGUUCCAGUAGUGGUCGAACGCUGAGCGUUUAUGUGCUGCCAUUGACCAACUGAUAGAGCUGUGUGAACCCACUCAAGUCCGUCACAUGAUGGCUGUUAGCAAGGAUGUUAGUGAACCACAGUUCCAACGCGAUUUCAUAUCGCUGCUGCCCAAAGAACUGGCUCUGCAUUUUCUCAGA
rnacentral:lncRNA from 1 species